rnacentral:rRNA from 1 species
AUUGAACGCUGGCGGCAGGCCUAACACAUGAAAGUCGAACGAGUGGCGGACGGGGGAAUAAUGUAUGGGAAACUGCCUGAGGGAUGGGGAUAACACCUGGAAACGGUAGCUAAUACCGCAUACCAUCAGAGUUGCCCAGAUGGGAUUAGCUAUUGGGUGGGGUAACGGCUAACCAGGGCGACGAUCCCUCGCUGGUCUGAGAGGAUGACCAGCCACACUGGAACUGAGACACGGUCCAGACGCCUACGGGAGGCAGCAGUGGGGAAGAUGGCACAAUGGGCGCAAGCCUGAUGCAGCCAUGCCGCGUGUAUGAAGAAGGCUUUCGGGUUGUAAAGUACUUUCAGCGGGGAGGCGUUACCCGCAGAAGAAGCACCGGCUAACUCCGUGCCAGCCGCGGCGGUAAUAC